GUCGCUGUCACUGCUGGGUGUCACCAGGGUGGUGUCACUGUCACUGCUGGGGUGUCACCAGGGUGGUGUCACUGUCACAGGUGGGGUGUCACCAGGGUGGUGUCGCUGUCACCCGUGCGGUGUCCCCGGUGUGAAAUCCCCACGAAGUUGUCACGGGGCGGGGUGUCACCCGGCUGUUGUCACCGGUCCGGUGUUGGUGCCAAGCCCGGUGUCCCCUUGUCACCCGCAGAGAGCCGCCUGGCCCUGCUGCUGUCCCUGUCCCUGCUGGGCUCCGUCACCGCGCUGGGGGCGGCCGCGUGGGGCAUCUACUACCUGAAGAGCACCGCCUGUAAGAAGGGGGAGUACAACGUGCGCGACGCCGAGGGUUCCUCCGAGGCCGCCCGCCUGCACCGCGGGGACAGCGGGGGACAACGGGAGCUCUUCGGGAUCCCGCUCACCCCCACCUGAGGGACGACGCCACCCGAGCCCCCCCCGGGGAACGCGGGCAUGUGGUGGGGACGGCGCGGUGACGUCCGCCCCGAGUGGUGGUGUUGGGUGUCGCCGCGCUGUCCCCGUGGGGGUGGGGGUGGUGGUGGUGGUGGCGGGGGGUCGCCGCAUUGUCCUCGAGGAAUGGUGUUGGAUGUCGUCAUGCUGUCCCCAAGGAGCGGUGUUGGAUGUCAUCGUACUGUCCCCAAGGAGCAGUGUUGUUGGAUGUCACCACAAUGUCUCCGAGGAAUGGUGUUGGAUGUCACCACACUGUCCCCAAGGAGUGGUGUUGGAUGUCGUCGUGCUGUCCCCAAGGAGCGGUGGUGUUGGAUGUCACCACACUGUCCCCAAGGAGCGGUGUUGUUGGAUGUCUCCGAGGAACGGUGUUGUUGGAUGUCACUGCAAUGUCUCCAAGGAACGGUGUUGGAUGUCACCGU
rnacentral:lncRNA from 1 species